AUUGAACGCUGGCGGAAUGCUUUACACAUGCAAGUCGAACGGCAGCACGGGGGCAGCCCUGGUGGCGAGUGGCGAACGGGUGAGUAAUACACCGGAACGUGCCCGGUCGUGGGGGAUAACGUAGCGAAAGAUACGCUAAUACCGCAUACGAUCUGAGGAUGAAAGCGGGGGACCUUCGGGCCUCGCGCGCUCGGAGCGGCCGAUGUCGGGUUAGGUAGUUGGUGGGGUAAAGGCCUACCAAGCCGACGAUCUGUAGCUGGCCUGAGAGGACGACAGGCCACAUGGGAACGGGGACACGGACAAGGGUACUGCGGGAGGGAGCAGUGGGGAAUGUUAGACAAUGGGCGGAAGCCUGAUCCAGCCAUUCCGCGUGCAGGACGAAGGCCUUCGGGUUGUAAACUGCUUUUGUACGGAACGAAAAGGCUCUGGCUAAUACCUGGGGCUCAUGACGGUACCGUAAGAAUAAGCACCGGCUAACUACGUG
rnacentral:rRNA from 1 species